GUUAUACUCCCUCCGUCUGAAAAAGCUUGUCCCAAGCUUGUUCCUCAAAUGGAUGUAUCUAGCACUAACUUGGUGCUAGAUACAUUCAUUUGAGGGACAAGCUUUUCCGGACGGAGGGAGUACGAG
rnacentral:pre_miRNA from 1 species